GUUUGUAGCUCAGUGGUAGAGUGCUUGCCUAGCAUAUGCGAUGCACUGGGUUCGACUCUCAGCAGCACA
rnacentral:tRNA from 1 species